rnacentral:misc_RNA from 1 species
UGGAACUGCUCGCUUGCUACAUGGUAUGUGUUUUUAUGUUUUUGGCUUGUUGCCAAAGUAUUGCUAUUUAACCGUUUUGUGCUGUUAAAUUAUUAUUACUUCUUACUUUUGUCUGGACAUGGUUCUGGAUUUCACUUAUUCCUUGUGAGGUCUUGCUAGAAUUUGGGAAGUCAUUUUGAUUUUUAUAUCAAAUAGAUACAUUUUUAUUUUUUGAAUUUUUUAUGUGCAGGUUUUCAAUUUUGAUAUUAUUAGUGGUUGUGUUAUUAGGUUGACUACAAUUACCAUAUAGGUCAUAGGCUCAAACUCUCAUGGGGUUGUCAACAAUGUCAAAUCUCUGAUUAUCUUCUUGUAUUAGAAC